rnacentral:rRNA from 1 species
GUUCGAUUCCGGCUCAGAUUGAACGCUGGCGGGAUACUUACGCAAAGUCGAACGGCACGGACUUCGGUCUGGUGAGGUGAACAGGUAGAGUAAUGUAUCGGAACGUGCCUAGUAGCGGGGGAUAACUACGCGAAAGCGUAGCUAAUACCACAUACGCCUGUCGGGGAAAGCGGGGACAUUCGACCUCUCUGCACCUGUCGACGGCCGAUAUCCGGAUUAACUGGAUUGGUGGGGUAACGGCUCACUAGGAGGCGACGAUCCGUGGCUGAUUUGAGAGGACGACCAACCACACUGGGACUGAGACACGGCCCAGACUCCACGGAGAACAGCAGUGGGAAUUUUGGACAGUAAACCCUGAAUCCAGCCAUCCGCGUGUGCGAUAGAAGGCCUUCAGGUUGUAAAAACUUACUUUUUGGCAGAAAAACGGCUGGGAUAAUACCCCGUGCGCUGACGGCCACCUGCAGAAUAAGCACCGGCUAACUACGUGCCUGACAGCCGCGGUAACACGUAGGGGUUGCAAGCGUUAAUCGGAAUUACUGGGCGUAAAGCGUGCAGGCGGUUCGGGGAAGAAAAAGAUGUGAAAUCCCAGAGCUUAACUUUGGAACUGCAUUUUUAACUUUAAAGCUGAGAGUGUGUCAGAGGGAGGUGGAAUUCCGCGUGUAGCAGUGAAAUGCGUAGAUAUGCGGAGGGCUUGCGAUGAAGGCAGCCUCCUGGGAUAACACUGACAUCAUGCACGAAAGCGUGGGAGUAAACGGAUUAGAUGCCUGAAAUGUCCUUUCAACGAUGUCAACUGGCUGUUGGGGCCUUCGGGCGCUGUGGCUAACUUUAACGGCGUGAUUGGGGCCGCCUGCAGGAGAGUACGGUCGCAAGAUUAAAACUCAAAAGGAAUUGACGGGGAUUUUACAAGCAGUGGAUGAUGUGGAUUAAUUGGUGUUAACGCCGAAAACCUCCUUGACAUGUCUGGAAUCCCGAAGAGAUUGGAGUGCUCGCGAGAGCCGGAACUGAGUGCUGCAUAUGGCUGUCGUCAGCUCGAGAUGUUGGGUUAAGUCCCACCCAACGAGAACGCAGCCUUGUCAUUGAUUUGCCGGGCACUCUAAUGAGACUGCCGGUGACCGACCGGAGGAAGGUGGGGAUGACGUCAGAUCCUCAUGGCCCUUAUGGGUAGGGCUUCACACGUCAUACAAUGGUCGGGACAGAGGGUCGCCAACCCGCGAGAGGCCAAUCCAAACCCGAUCACGUAGUCCGGAUCGCAGUCUGCUCGACUGCGUGAAGUCAGAAUCGCUGGUAAUCGCGGAUCAGCAUGUCGCGGUGAAUACGUUCAGGUCUUGUACACGCUUCCGUCACCAUGGUGGGUUACCGAUAGUUAGCCUAUAUGUUUAAGGAGGCGAUUAGUAGGAUUCAUGACUGGGUGAAGUCGCUUCAGGUAG